CAAGUGAAGAAGCGCAUACGGUGGAUGCCUUGGCAGUCAGAGGCGAUGAAAGACGUGAUAGCCUGCGAUAAGCUUCGGGGAGUCGGCAAAUAGACUGUGAUCCGGAGAUCUCUGAAUGGGGGAACCCACCUAGGAUAACCUAGGUAUCUUGUACUGAAUCCAUAGGUGCAAGAGGCGAACCAGGGGAACUGAAACAUCUAAGUACCCUGAGGAAUAGAAAUCAACCGAGAUUCCCUUAGUAGUGGCGAGCGAACGGGGACCAGCCCUUAAGCUGUGUUGAGAUUAGUGGAACGCUCUGGAAAGUGCGGCCAUAGUGGGUGAUAGCCCCGUACACGAAAAUCUCUUUGCAGUGAAAUCGAGUAGGACGGAGCACGAGAAACUUUGUCUGAACAUGGGGGGACCAUCCUCCAAGGCUAAAUACUACUGACUGACCGAUAGUGAACCAGUACCGUGAGGGAAAGGCGAAAAGAACCCCGGAGAGGGGAGUGAAAUAGAACCUGAAACCGUAUGCGUACAAGCAGUGGGAGCAGACUUUGUUCUGUGACUGCGUACCUUUUGUAUAAUGGGUCAGCGACUUAUAUUCAGUGGCGAGCUUAACCGAAUAGGGGAGGCGUAGCGAAAGCGAGUCUUAAUAGGGCGUUUAGUCGCUGGGUAUAGACCCGAAACCGGGCGAUCUAUCCAUGGGCAGGUUGAAGGUUAGGUAACACUGACUGGAGGACCGAACCGACUACCGUUGAAAAGUUAGCGGAUGACCUGUGGAUCGGAGUGAAAGGCUAAUCAAGCUCGGAGAUAGCUGGUUCUCCUCGAAAGCUAUUUAGGUAGCGCCUCAUGUAUCACUGUAGGGGGUAGAGCACUGUUUCGGCUAGGGGGUCAUCCCGACUUACCAAACCGAUGCAAACUCCGAAUACCUACAAGUGCCGAGCAUGGGAGACACACGGCGGGUGCUAACGUCCGUCGUGAAAAGGGAAACAACCCAGACCGUCAGCUAAGGUCCCAAAAUCCUGGUUAAGUGGGAAACGAUGUGGGAAGGCUCAGACAGCUAGGAGGUUGGCUUAGAAGCAGCCACCCUUUAAAGAAAGCGUAAUAGCUCACUAGUCGAGUCGGCCUGCGCGGAAGAUGUAACGGGGCUCAAACCAGGUACCGAAGCUACGGGUGUCACCUUAGGGUGACGCGGUAGAGGAGCGUUCUGUAAGCCUGUGAAGGUGAGUUGAGAAGCUUGCUGGAGGUAUCAGAAGUGCGAAUGCUGACAUGAGUAACGACAAUGGGAGUGAAAAACUCCCACGCCGAAAGACCAAGGUUUCCUGCGCAACGUUAAUCGACGCAGGGUUAGUCGGUCCCUAAGGCGAGGCUGAAAAGCGUAGUCGAUGGAAAACAGGUUAAUAUUCCUGUACUUCCGGUUAUUGCGAUGGAGGGACGGAGAAGGCUAGGCCAGCUUGGCGUUGGUUGUCCAAGUUUAAGGUGGUAGGCCGAACACUUAGGCAAAUCCGGGUGUUCAAGGCCGAGAGCUGAUGACGAGCGUUCUUUAGAAUGCGAAGUGGUCGAUGCCAUGCUUCCAGGAAAAGCUUCUAAGCUUCAGAUAACCGGGAACCGUACCCCAAACCGACACAGGUGGUUGGGUAGAGAAUACCAAGGCGCUUGAGAGAACUCGGGUGAAGGAACUAGGCAAAAUGGCACCGUAACUUCGGGAGAAGGUGCGCCGGCCAGGGUGAAGCAUUUACUGCGUAAGCCCCGGCUGGUCGAAGAUACCAGGCCGCUGCGACUGUUUAUUAAAAACACAGCACUCUGCAAACACGAAAGUGGACGUAUAGGGUGUGACGCCUGCCCGGUGCCGGAAGGUUAAUUGAUGGGGUUAGCGCAAGCGAAGCUCUUGAUCGAAGCCCCGGUAAACGGCGGCCGUAACUAUAACGGUCCUAAGGUAGCGAAAUUCCUUGUCGGGUAAGUUCCGACCUGCACGAAUGGCGUAACGAUGGCGGCGCUGUCUCCACCCGAGACUCAGUGAAAUUGAAAUCGCUGUGAAGAUGCAGUGUAUCCGCGGCUAGACGGAAAGACCCCGUGAACCUUUACUAUAGCUUUGCACUGGACUUUGAGCUUGCUUGUGUAGGAUAGGUGGGAGGCUUUGAAGCGUGAACGCCAGUUUGCGUGGAGCCAUCCUUGAAAUACCACCCUGGCAACCUUGAGGUUCUAACUCAGGUCCGUCAUCCGGAUCGAGGACAGUGUAUGGUGGGUAGUUUGACUGGGGCGGUCUCCUCCCAAAGAGUAACGGAGGAGUACGAAGGUGCGCUCAGACCGGUCGGAAAUCGGUCGUAGAGUAUAAAGGCAAAAGCGCGCUUGACUGCGAGACCCACACGUCGAGCAGGUACGAAAGUAGGUCUUAGUGAUCCGGUGGUUCUGUAUGGAAGGGCCAUCGCUCAACGGAUAAAAGGUACUCCGGGGAUAACAGGCUGAUACCGCCCAAGAGUUCAUAUCGACGGCGGUGUUUGGCACCUCGAUGUCGGCUCAUCACAUCCUGGGGCUGAAGCCGGUCCCAAGGGUAUGGCUGUUCGCCAUUUAAAGUGGUACGCGAGCUGGGUUUAGAACGUCGUGAGACAGUUCGGUCCCUAUCUGCCGUGGACGUUUGAGAUUUGAGAGGGGCUGCUCCUAGUACGAGAGGACCGGAGUGGACGAACCUCUGGUGUUCCGGUUGUCACGCCAGUGGCAUUGCCGGGUAGCUAUGUUCGGAAGAGAUAACCGCUGAAAGCAUCUAAGCGGGAAACUUGCCUCAAGAUGAGAUCUCACUGGGAUCUUGAAUCCCCUAAAGGGCCGUCGAAGACUACGACGUUGAUAGGUGGGGUGUGUAAGCGCUGUGAGGCGUUGAGCUAACCCAUACUAAUUGCCCGUGAGGCUUGACCAUAUAACACCCAAGCAAUCUGCCCAGAGCAGAUGCGGUGGUGAAGCGACACAGCCGAAAAUUCGCCAGAUACGCACAAACAUCACAUACCUGAAUUCGCUGCAACGCC
rnacentral:rRNA from 1 species